UGAGUCCUUUCUUGUUUCUUGAGAAAGGCUUGUAUCACUAUAUACUUUCCUCUCCAGACUGCCUUUGCUCUGUCCCACAGAUUUUGAACAGUUGUGUUUUCAUUAUCAUUUGUAUCCAUGGUUAUUUUUCAAUUCUUCUUUAAUUUCCUGGUUAACCCAUUCAUUCUUAGGAUGCUCUUUACCCACCAUGUAUUACGAUUCUUUCCAACUUUCCUCAUGUGAUUGAGUUCUAGCUUCAGGGCAUUGUGGUCUGAAAAUAUGCAGGGAGUGAUCCCAAUCUUUUGGUACUGGUUGAAACCUGACUUGUGACCCAGAAUGUGAUCUAUUCUGGAGAAUGUUCAAUGCACACUAGAGAAUAAUGUGUAUUCUGUUGCUUAGGGAUAGAAUGUUCUGAAUAUCUUUGAUGUCCAUCUGGUCCAGUGUGUCAUUUAAGGCCUUUAUUUCCUUUUUGAUCAUUUACUUGGAUGAUGUGUUCAUUUCAGUGAGAUAAGAAUAUAUGAAUGAAAGAAUAAAAUACUAAAAGAGUGGAAGAGACCUCAGAAAAAUGUACGCCAACCAAAUCAGAGGAGACCCCAAAUUGGGGGUGAAGAAAAGAGUUUUGGAGAACUGGAAUGAAAAUGGCAGCCUCAAUCUCUCAGAGGAGCUGAAAACUUGGAGCCCCACUCCUCAGUGCGCCCUCAGAGAAAAGCCGUCAAUCCCUCCUGUCUCCCUGGUCUCUGGCCGCACUCCAUGCUCACCCAGCC
rnacentral:lncRNA from 1 species